rnacentral:rRNA from 1 species
GACGAACGCUGGCGGCGUGCUUAACACAUGCCAGUCGAACGGAAAGGCCCUGCGUUUGUGGGGUGCUCGAGUGGCGAACGGGUGAGUAACACGUGAGUAACCUGCCCUUGACUUUGGGAGAACUUCAGGAAACUGGGGCUAAUACCGGAUAGGAGCUCCUGCUGCACAGUGGGGGUUGGAAAGUUUCGGCGGUUGGGGAUGGUCUCGCAGCUUAUCAGCUGCUUGGUGGGGUAGUUUCUUACGAAGGCUAUGACGGGUAGCCGGCCUGAGAGCGUGACCGGCCACAUUGGGACUGAGAUACGGCCCAGACGCCAACGGGAGGCAGCAGGGGGGAAUAUUGCACAAUGGGCGGAAGCCUGAUGCAGCAACGCCGCGUGCGGGAUGACGGCUUUCGGGUUGUAAACCGCUUUCGACUGUGACGAAGCGUGAGUGACGGUAAUGGGUAAAGAAGCAACGGCUAACUACGUG